GAUGAACGCUAGCGGCAGGCCUAAUACAUGCAAGUCGAACGAGAUUAAGAGGCUUGCUUCUUAUGAAAGUGGCGCACGGGUGCGUAACGCGUAUGCAACCUACCUUAAUCAGGGGGGUAGCCCGAAGAAAUUCGGAUUAAGACCGCAUAAAAACACAGGAUAGCAUUAUCCAAUGUUCAAAUAUUUAUAGGAUUAAGAUGGGCAUGCGUGUCAUUAGCUAGUUGGCGGGGUAACGGCCCACCAAGGCGACGAUGACUAGGGGAUCUGAGAGGAUGACCCCCCACACUGGUACUGAGACACGGACCAGACUCCUACGGGAGGCAGCAGUAAGGAAUAUUGGUCAAUGGAGGGAACUCUGAACCAGCCAUGCCGCGUGCAGGAAGACAGCCCUCUGGGUCGUAAACUGCUUUUAUUCGGGAAUAAACCUUUCUACGUGUAGGAAGCUGAAUGUACCGAAGGAAUAAGGAUCGGCUAACUCCGUG
rnacentral:rRNA from 1 species